CAGCAGGCGCGAAAUCUUUACAAUGCGGGAAACCGCGAUAAGGGGACACCGAGUGCCAGCAUUUAUGUUGGCUGUCCACAUGUGUAAACGGCAUGUGUUAGCAAGGGCCGGGCAAGACCGGUGCCAGCCGCCGCGGUAACACCGGCGGCCCGAGUGGUAAUCACUUUUAUUGGGUCCAAAGGGUCCGUAGCCGGUUUGAUCAGUUCUUCGGGAAAUCUGACAGCUCAACUGUUAGGCUUCCGGGGAAUACUGUCAGAC
rnacentral:rRNA from 1 species